rnacentral:tRNA from 1 species
AUUACUUUGGCAGAUUAGUGUAGUAAAUUUAGAAUUUAUGUAAAUAUAUAUUGAAUAUAUAAGUAAUA